rnacentral:lncRNA from 1 species
CUUCACUCCAGGCAGUGGGAUAAGUGCAAUAACAUGGUUAUCUCCUGGCUCACAAAUUCUCUCACACCAGAGAUAGCCGAGAGUGUUCAGUAUUCUGACACUGCUCAAAGUAUUUGGAAUCAACUUAACAAUAGGUAUGGGACAGUCAAUGGGACAAAAUUUUUUGAAAUAAAACAAGAGUUAACAUCUACUACUCAGGGAUCCUUAGACAUAGCGUCCUACUUCAACAAAUUGAAAAGAUUAUGGGAUGAACUGGGAUUUAUGCGAGCCUCACGAGGUAGUACAUGUACAUGUGCUGCCAGGCUUGAAUUUCAAAAGGAGGAUGAUGAGAAUAAAUUGCACCAAUUCAUCAUGGGGCUUAAUGACACAUAUGUUGGUGUUAGGGGUAAUAUCCUUAUGCUACAGCCUCCACCAUCCUUAGACAGUGCAUAUAAUAUACUGCUUCAGGAUAAAAGGCAAAGACAAGUCACUCGUGCACCAUCCCAAUUUCGUAGUGACUCCAGUGCUUUUAGCACUUAUUUCAUAUGAUGAAAGGCAAAGACAAGUCACCCAUGCACCAUCCCAAUUUCGUAGUGACUCCAGUGCUUUUAGCACUUAUUUCAUAAAUAAAUCCUCUGGAGCACCUUCACAUCCUAAGCAGUUCACUCAGAGACUCAGUUUUGACACCACCAAAACAAAUCCAGUAUGUAGAUAUUGCAAAAAAACCUGGUCAUUUGAUUGACAAAUGCUACAAGCUACACGGGUUUCCACCAGAUUUCAAGUUUACAAGAAACAAGAGAACUGAUGCAAGUGUUGAGGUGCAAGGGUGUGUAAAUUCUGCUGAUUCCUCAAACAUGGGUGAAAGAAAUCAGGGGUGUUCUGAUUCAGAUUCUGUGAUUCCUGGAUUAGCAAUGGAACAAUACUCACAACUCAUGGUGCUGCUCCAACAGACACAAGUCUCAGAAUCUCAACAUCAAUCAAGUCUUAUGGCAUCUGCAAACUUUGCUGGUACACUCUCUUCUUCUCUCAAUCCUCUAAGAAAUGUGUCCUAUGGAGCAUGCAUGUUAACUAGAGUUAGUGCAUGCAUUUGGAUUAUAGAUUCUGGUGGCACUGACCACAUGACUUCCAAUAAAUCUCUUCUGUUUGACAUCAAACCAUUAGUUAUACCAUACUUAGUUACCUUACCUAAUGGUUACAAAGUUAAGGUAACAUGUACUGGAUCCAUUAAAUUUCUUUGCUUCACCUUACAUCAUGUCCUCUAUAUUCCCAGCUUUCAUUACAAUCUCAUUUCUGUCUCUAAACUUGUUCAACAACUGAAUUCUAUUGUCCUAUUCACUAAAUUUUCUUGCUUGAUACAGGCCCCUUCUCUGAAGAGGCCACUGAAAAUUGGUAAGCUGGAUGAUGGUCUUUACAGGCUUGUGCAAUCUUCCCUUUCUCCUCCUUCUUCUCAAUCCUAUACUCCUUGUAAUUACCAUUCUCCAUUAGUUGUUGCUUCUGUUUCUUCCUCUAAUUGUACAUAUCAUUCUGAAUUGAAUAAAAUGGAGAUAUUAUGGCAUAACAGACUAGGCCACAUUACUUUUGUUAGAAUGAAAGACAUUUCUUCUAUUCCAUGCAAAUUUGCAAACAAACAACCUUUUAUAUGUACUGUGUCCCAAUUAGCAAGACAGUCUAGAUUGCCCUUUCCUGAAAUUCCCAUAAAAACAACACAGCCUUUUCAACUCAUCCAUAUAGAUACCUGGGGUCCUUAUGCCACUGCCACCCAUAAUGGAUGUAAAUAUUUUCUAACAAUAGUUGAUGAUUUUACAAGAGCUACUUGGACUCACCUUAUGUAUUCCAAAAGCAAUGCCUUUUCCAUUAUCAAGGCAUUCAUUGCCAUGGUCAAAACUCAAUUUCAGACUGUUGUAAGGGUCCAAGAGCAAUGCCUUUUCCAUUAUCAAGUCAUUCAUUGCCAUGGUCAAAACUCAGUUUCAGACUGUUGUACAAACCAUCAGGAGUGAUAAUGCUCUUGAACUUGGAACCAGCAAUGCUGGCCUCAAUUUCUUUGCUGAGAAUGGCAUCCUUCACCAAACAUCUUGUUCUCAUACACCACAGCAUAAUGGUGUAGUUGAGAGAAAACACAGACACCUUCUGGAAACCUCCAGAGCAUUACUCUUUCAGUCACACCUUCCUCUUAGAUUCUGGGGUGAUUGUGUCCUCACUGCCACCUACCUCAUCAAUAGAUAUCCUUCCAAAAUACUUAACAAUGCAUCUCCUUAUGAGUUACUUUUUGGACAGAGUCCUUCUUAUAACCAUCUUAGGACUUUUGGCUGCCUUUGUUUUGCUUCUGUACCCAAACAGCAUAGGGACAAAUUUCAUCCAAGAUCUGAUCCUUGUGUUUUCCUGGGAUAUCCACUGGGUAAAAAGGGAUACAAACUGUACAACUUGAAAACUAUUUUCUAAAAUAAAUAUGGAUGUCAGAGUAAAAUCGUGCCUAUUUUUCAGCUCUUGGUGUUGAAAGGGGUAUCUAUACCCGUUUUUUGUGUCACAUUUUAAUUUAUGUCCUCUUUGCAAAAAAAUUACAAGCGUACCCACUUUUUCACAUAACUUCAACACACGGGGCUGAAGUAGCAAAGACAAUCACGCAAAACUUCAGCAUUUAGUAGCCGAGUCUGAAGUUCAGCUCUAGAGUUGAAGUUUUUAUUUUAUAGCUGGCGAACUUCAGCUCUAGAGCUGAAGUUUUUGUUUUGUAACUGGAAAACUUCAGCUCUAGAGCUGAAAUUUUUAUUUUGUAACUCGAAAACUUCAGUCCUAGAGCUGAAGUUUUUGUCUUUGUAACCGGAAAACUUCAGUUAUAGAGCUGAAGUUAUUUAGUUCAUUGUAUGUUUACUACCCCAAAUAACACUUUUUUCACAUAACUUCAACUAUAGUUUUAUUUAAUUACUACUAAUUAUUCCCCACAAACUACAGAACAUUCAAUUUACUACAUUAUCAACCACUACGCAAGGCAAAGAAGAAAGAAGAAGAUGCAUUCUGUAAAAGAGAAAGUAAGACACGCAACGGAGAAAGCAGCAGCAAGGACAAAGGAAGAGAAAACGAUAGCAGAAGAGAGAAGGAAAUCAAAAGAAGAAGAAGCUAAAAUGGAACUGCAAUGAAGAAAGGGAGCUGAAGUUUUUUUUAAAACUUGGUACAAGUUAAAAGUUUUAAAAAAAUAGAUAUAGGUUAAGUGGGAGCGACUAAAUAGUGUGCCCCGCGUAAUUUUUAUUGUUGAAGAGAGUUCUACAAAGAGAGAUGUUUUGGACCACGGAAGGUUUUGGAGCAAUCUUUACGUAAAUAGCCGGUCAUAUAUACUGUUUACGUUUUACAAUUAUAUGCAUAUAUUAUAUAAUAUAUAUAUUAUAUGCUUACACCAGUUAUUUUUAAUUUAAGCGAUUGGGUAGAUCGUAGAUGGCUAUUUGGGUUAAUUCUUCUUUAGUUUUAUGUGGUGAAAUUUAGAAUAUUUAGCAUUCUAAUAUUCCGAUGAUCGUAAAAGUAUGCUUGCAAAUAUAUAUNNNNNNNNNNNNNNNNNNNNNNNNNNNNNNNNNNNNNNNNNNNNNNNNNNNNNNNNNNNNNNNNNNNNNNNNNNNNNNNNNNNNNNNNNNNNNNNNNNNNNNNNNNNNNNNNNNNNNNNNNNNNNNNNNNNNNNNNNNNNNNNNNNNNNNNNNNNNNNNNNNNNNNNNNNNNNNNNNNNNNNNNNNNNNNNNNNNNNNNNNNNNNNNNNNNNNNNNNNNNNNNNNNNNNNNNNNNNNNNNNNNNNNNNNAUAUAUAUAUAUAUAAAUUGUUAGAGAAAGUAUAUUUGUUUGGAUUAAGUGUGGCCACAUGUUGAAAAGUUUGACCUAAAUGGACUUAGUUUGAAUUGAAUUGAUAUAAAGAUGGACCUAUAUCACACGUUUACAUCUUAUACUACGUGAAGAAAAAGUUAGCUUUAGAAAUUCUUAUGAAGAUGCCUAGACGGAUACUUAACUACCUUUUUAGUUAUUCUGGUAAGAUUUAUUGGAAUUAAGAAAGUUAGGUUUAUGGAACAAGAAAGGGAGAAGGAGGGUAAUCAAUAAUCACAUAGGUAGUGUGUCUGUUAUGCAUAUUCUUUAUUCCAACCUAAGGCUUCUCAAUUAGAAUAUAUGAUGGUGCGAUUUCUCAAAUCUGUUUUUACCCCAUAAGGCAAAAAAGGAGGCCAAUUUUGUAUCCUUUUCAAUAAAUUUCUUUAUUCAAAAUUUUUGCUUAUCAAAACUGUCUAAAAGACUUAAUAAAACAAACUAUUGCCAAAAAAAAAAAACAAGUUAAAAAAAAAAAAUAAAAAUCACAAGGAGAAUCAUUCUUUCAGUUGAAAUCUAUGGCCAUUGCAGUUUAAAAUUGAGUAGGGGAAUGUUUUUCUUUUCCUUUGAUCCACACGCUUGAUAAAUCUUUAAGUACUCCCUCAUAUUCCCAAUAAGUGACCGAUUACUUUUUAUUUUGGUCAAAAAUAAGUGUUAAUUUAUAUAAUCAAGAAAAAAUUUAAUUUGGUUUUCCAAAAUUGCCUUUAUGAAGGUAUCCUAAAAAGUCUUUUAUUCAUCACAUUAAAUUUGUUGUAACAUUUAAUUAAGGGUAAUUUAAUCAUACUGACUAUUUCUGUCUAGAAUUUAGUAUUUACUUAAUAGGUGUGCUCAAACAAAUUGAUCACUUGUUAUGAAUAGCAGGAAUAUUAUUUUUUUCUCCCUCAUGGUUGUUUGGGAAAAGACUCCAAACGAAACUGGUGAUAUUAACUUAUUUCUCCCUCCGUUCCAAAAUAAGUGAAUUUUUGGAUAUUUUUGUAUCGAUUAAGAAAUCUAUCUUUUAGCAUUAUUAGCAAUAAAAUUGACGAUAUUAACUUUUACUAUCUCAUAUAAACACUCUUAAUACAUACUCCAACACUAUUUACUCCAAGGGCAAUGUAGGAAAAAAAUAAUUAAUUCAUUCUUGAAAUCUGAAAAAAUAACUUAUUUUGGAUCACAAAAAAAGGCCAAAAAAUUACUUAUUUUGGACCGGAGGGAAUAUUAUUAAAGACUUUUCUCAAAGCUUUCAAUCGUGCUAACAAGAACAAAAGAGUCGUAAUAUCCUUUAUUUGACCUUAGUUAACAAAUUAUCUAUUCAUGUAACACAUACUUGGAGUUGUCGUCAUUCAUUCUCUUUCAACUCUCUUUUUCUCUCUCUUUUAAUUACCUCUUUCUCUCUAGUUUCUUCUUACGUAGUGAAGAUUAUUUCCACUUGAUUAUGGUGUAUGGACAUGAAACAGAGACAUUUCUGGAGAUUUAGUUUCAUAAGAGAUCGAUAAAUAGGAAAUAAUAAAUAAAAUGUAAGACAUUUUUGUAAGAUUAUGUUUUUCUUUUCAAAUAGUAACUGUUGAUAUAAGAUUAUUUCUCCACAAAGCACAUGCUAGGAGGGUAUAUGUCAAAUUAUUAUGACUUAGUUACGUGUGUAUAUA